UCCUACGGGGGGCUGCAGUAGGGAAUAUUGCACAAUGGGCGAAAGCCUGAUGCAGCAACGCCGCGUGCGCGAAGAAGGUCUUCGGAUCGUAAAGCGCUUUUCGGGGAGAUGAGGAAGGACAGUAUCCCCGGAAUAAGGCUCGGCUAACUACGUGCCAGCAGCCGCGGUAAAACGUAGGAGCCAAGCGUUAUCCGAAUUCACUGGGCGUAAAGCGCGUGCAGGCGGCCUGGUAAGUUGGAUGUGAAAUCUCCUGGCUCAAAUGGGAGAGGCCGUUCAAUACUGUCAGGCUAGAGGGCGACAGAGGGAGGUAGAAUUCCGGGUGUAGUGGUGAAAUGCGUAGAUAUCCGGAGGAAUACCAGAGGCGAAGGCGACCUCCUGGGUCGUACCUGACGCUCAGAUGCGAAAGCUAGGGGAGCGAACGGGAUUAGAUACCCUUGUAGUC
rnacentral:rRNA from 1 species